UGGCGGCGUGCUUAACACAUGCAAGUCGAACGGACCCAUAUUGAAACCUGGUGAUAUAUGGGUUAGUGGCGGACGGGUGAGUAACGCGUGGGUAACCUGCCUUACACAGGGGGAUAACACUUGGAAAUAGGUGCUAAAACCGCAUAAGCGCACAGCUUCGCAUGAAGCGGUGUGAAAAACUCCGGUGGUGUAAGAUGGACCCGCGUCUGAUUAGCUUGUUGGCGGGGUAACGGCCCACCAAGGCGACGAUCAGUAGCCGGCCUGAGAGGGCGGACGGCCACAUUGGGACUGAGACACGGCCCAGACUCCUACGGGAGGCAGCAGUGGGGAAUAUUGCACAAUGGGGGAAACCCUGAUGCAGCGACGCCGCGUGAGUGAAGAAGUAAUUCGUUACGUAAAGCUCUAUCAGCAGGGAAGAAAUACUGACCUUACGGUCAGCAGACGGUACCUGAGUAAGAAGCCCCGGCUAACUACGUGCCAGCAGCCGCGGUAAUACGUAGGGGGCAAGCGUUAUCCGGAUUUACUGGGUGUAAAGGGAGCGUAGACGGUGCGCCAAGUCUGGAGUGAAAUGCCGCAGCUUAACUGCGGAACUGCUUUGGAAACUGGCGAACUAGAGUGCGGGAGGGGUAAGCGGAAUUCCUAGUGUAGCGGUGAAAUGCGUAGAUAUUAGGAGGAACACCGGUGGCGAAGGCGGCUUACUGGACCGUAACUGACGUUGAGGCUCGAAAGCGUGGGGAGCAAACAGGAUUAGAUACCCUGGUAGUCCACGCCGUAAACGA
rnacentral:rRNA from 1 species